rnacentral:rRNA from 1 species
AGUGAACGCUGGCGGUAGGCCUAACACAUGCAAGUCGAACGGCAGCACAGGAGAGCUUGCUCUCUGGGUGGCGAGUGGCGGACGGGUGAGGAAUACAUCGGAAUCUACUUUUUCGUGGGGGAUAACGUAGGGAAACUUACGCUAAUACCGCAUACGACCUACGGGUGAAAGCAGGGGAUCUUCGGACCUUGCGCGAUUGAAUGAGCCGAUGUCGGAGUAGCUAGUUGGCGGGGUAAAGGCCCACCAAGGCGACGAUCCGUAGCUGGUCUUAGAGGAUGAACAGCCACACUGGAACUGAGACACGGUCCAGACUCCUACGGGAGGCAGCAGUGGGGAAUAUUGGACAAUGGGCGCAAGCCUGAUCCAGCCAUACCGCGUGGGUGAAGAAGGCCUUCGGGUUGUAAAGCCCUUUUGUUGGGAAAGAAAUCCAGCUGGUUAAUACCCGGUUGGGAUGACGGUACCCAAAGAAUAAGCACCGGCUAACUUCGUGCCAGCAGCCGCAGUAA